GCCUCUUUUACUUAGUCUUCUUAGCAUGCUGACAAGGCCACUGCUUACUCUGCUUCCUUUAGCUGGGUUAGUCCAAGUACAAGGAGGUCUCAUUCAUUUGUGAAUGCAUUUAAUUUCUAGGGAAAGCAACUCAUGCAAGGGUGCUCAUUCUUAGCAGUUUGCCUUGGGAAAGUCAACCUCACCUUUCCAUGUCUGACUUUUCUCCUCUGUACAAAUGUACAGAGAAGAAAGAAAAUCAGAAGAUUGAGUCUUACUGUCCUGACAGGUAUCCUGAGAUGUGUUAUCUCAAGGGAACGCUUUUCUGGAACAGAAAAGAACUUCCAACUAAUACGGCUACUUCUAAGGUAA